UACGUAGGGGGCAAGCGUUGUCCGGAAUCAUUGGGCGUAAAGCGCGUGUAGGCGGCCCGGUAAGUCCGCUGUGAAAGUCGGGGGCUCAACCCUCGAAUGCCGGUGGAUACUGUCGGGCUAGAGUGCGGAAGGGGCGAGUGGAAUUCCUGGUGUAGCGGUGAAAUGCGCAGAUAUCAGGAGGAACACCAAUUGCGAAGGCAGCUCGCUGGGACGUGACUGACGCUGAGACGCGAAAGCGUGGGGAGCAAACAGG
rnacentral:rRNA from 1 species